UACGUAGGGAGCAAGCGUUGUCCGGAAUCAUUGGGCGUAAAGCGCGCGUAGGUGGCCUCAUAAGUCCGCUGUGAAAGUCAAAGGCUCAACCUUUGAAAGCCGGUGGAUACUGUGGGGCUAGAGUACGGAAGAGGCGAGUGGAAUUCCUGGUGUAGCGGUGGAAUGCGCAGAUAUCAGGAGGAACACCAAUAGCGAAGGCAGCUCGCUGGGACGUUACUGACACUGGGGCGCGAAAGCGUGGGGAGCGAACAGG
rnacentral:rRNA from 1 species